GCCUUCGUGGUGUAGUGGUCAGCACACUCAGCGCGUAUUCCAGAAUUCCUAGGUUCGAGUCCCGGCCAGGGCA
rnacentral:tRNA from 1 species